rnacentral:rRNA from 1 species
AUGUCCAAUGCUUUUGCGUCCUCCAUCGGUGCCAGCGGCGGCGUGACCGCGUCGGCCAUCGUUGCCCCGGUCGUCGGGUCCGGCUCGCACAUCCUCCGCAUCGACGGCUACUCCUGCACAAAGGGGAUCGGCAACGGCACACACAUCGCCUCCGAGACGUUCGCCGCCGCAGGGCACCGCUGGUGUCUGCACUACUACCCAGACAGUCCGAACCGCCACGGCUCCGGUGAGAUAUGCAUCUUUCUGAAGCUUGUUGAUGCUGAUGCCAAUGAAGUGAAAGCCAAAUACACGAUUAGUCUGCUCGACCAUGAUGGGAAUCCAAGGCCGCAGCACAUCCAUGCGGGCGAAAAGACCUAUUCGAGCAGAGACGCUUCGACGUCGGGGGUUGGUCUCAUCGAGAGGAGCGAGCUGGAAGGAUGUGGUUACCUCAAGGACGACGCUUUCGUUAUCAGGUGCGAUAUCAUCGUGGUGAAGGAGAUCUUCACCAAGGCCAUCCCGGUCUCCGAAGCUUUUCGUCCCGUCAUGAAACGGGAGAUGUGA